UACGUAGGGGGCGAGCGUUGUCCGGAUUUAUUGGGCGUAAAGAGCUCGUAGGCGGUUCGAUAAGUCGGAUGUGAAAUCUCCACGCUCAACGUGGAGGGGCCAUUCGAUACUGUCGUGACUCGAGUCCGGUAGGGGAGUGUGGAAUUCCCGGUGUAGCGGUGAAAUGCGCAGAUAUCAGGAGGAACACCAAUGGCGAAGGCAGCUCGCUGGGACGUGACUGACGCUGAGACGCGAAAGCGUGGGGAGCGAACAGG
rnacentral:rRNA from 1 species